AGUAGUAUAGCAUAACGGUUAGAGGGUGAGGUUUUCAACCUCCAGGUUGCAGGUUCGACUUGCAGUAAGUA